UGGGGAAUAUUGGACAAUGGGCGCAAGCCUGAUCCAGCCAUGCCGCGUGAGUGACGAAGGUCUUCGGAUUGUAAAGCUCUUUUGCCAGGGACGCGGUACCUGGAGAAUAAGCCCCGGCUAACUUCGUGCCAGCAGCCGCGGUAAUACGAAGGGGGCUAGCGUUGUUCGGAAUUACUGGGCGUAAAGCGCACGUAGGCGGAUUUGUUAGUCAGGGGUGAAAUCCCGGGGCUCAACCUCGGAACUGCCUUUGAUACUGCAAGUCUCGAGUCCGGAAGAGGUGAGUGGAAUUCCUAGUGUAGAGGUGAAAUUCGUAGAUAUUAGGAAGAACACCAGUGGCGAAGGCGGCUCACUGGUCCGGUACUGACGCUGAGGUGCGAAAGCGUGGGGAGCAAACAGGAUUAGAUACCCCAGUAGU
rnacentral:rRNA from 1 species